AGACGGACUGAGUUCCUCUAAUCCCUGUGUUCCUUCUCCCCCAUCUUUCUAAAACCCUUCUCUGAGAGAGGAAUAACUAUAGCUUCAGGGAUAAUAUAGCUUUAAGGAAACUUUUGGCAGAUGUGGACGUCGUAACAUCUGGGCAGUGUUAACAGAAUCCCGGAGGCCGGGACAGACCAGGAGCCACUCGUUCUAGGAAUGUUAAAGUAGAAGGUUUUUUCCAAUUGAUGAGAGGAGCAGAGAGGAAGGAGAAAGAGGAGGAGAGAGAAAAAGGGCACAAAAUACCAUAAAACAGGAUGGCCAGUCAGCUAACUCAAAGAGGAGCUCUCUUUCUGCUGUUCUUCCUAACUCCGGCAGUGACACCAACAUGGUAUGCAGGUUCUGGCUACUAUCCGGAUGAAAGCUACAAUGAAGUAUAUGCAGAGGAGGUCCCACAGGCUCCUGCCCUGGACUACCGAGGUAAUCUACCCUGCUUCUCAAGCCCAGAAAAUCUCUUUUCUGGCCUCAGACCUAGGCCCUUCCCUGAAGCAUCCCCAUCAGGCUUGGCUCACAUGUGUCAAAACUGUAGCACAGGGAAUCAGGGGCUGUGAUUUCUCAUCAUGAACUUGGUUACUGACUUACUGUGUGACCUCACCUCUCCAGCCUGAAGGUUCUCCAUGUAUUAUUAAUCAUUAAGUAUUGACUAGUUA
rnacentral:lncRNA from 10 species